CAGCAGUUCAAGACUAAGAAAAGAAAAGCUGCAGGCAAGUACUGUCACUUAGAGCAGGAUUAAGCAAAACUGUCCAAGACCUUCUGCAAGAUUGUCAAAUACCUAUGUAUAAAUGAUCACCAAUUGGAGAGUUGAUAAUACAUGGUUGAAAUUGAAGGAACUGCUACAAAUCAGUAGGAGCUACAAGCUGGUUCCUUAAUCUACAUUCUUGAGGGCGGAUAUCCAGGAAAUUUGCCCUCCUACAAUGCAAUGUCUUCAUACCAACAGAGGCAAAGAGGUAAACAUAUAGCACAAUGAAGGGAAAAUCCCAUUCAUUCUGUACACUUGCCCACUGUCUAGACUCAUAAUCGUAGUGACUACUUGUGUAGAACUUUUGUUGUUCCAAACCUGUAGAUAUGGUGAAAAGUUGUUGUGUAUUCAGUUAUACCAAUAACAAGUCAAAAAGACCUGAACUUUCCUUCUAUUUGAUAACCAGUCAAGCUACUGAAAAUAAUAGAGGCUGAGGUCAGCCUGGUCCACUGUUGAGAAGAAAAAUCAAUGACAAAAUACUCCAACAAAUGGGCCUUAACAGAGCCAGGCAGGGAUCUAUAAAUCCAAAUACCAAAAUUUGAAUGAAUGAACAAAAGAAGUGUUGAGGUUGAAAGCUAUCAACUGCGAAACAAAGGAAGCAAGAGGAAAUCUGUGGGAGCCAAAGUCUGACUAUAACUCUGUGUGUUAAGCUCAUUUUAUAACAUGUAAAUGUUAUCUUCUAAUUUUUUUUAACACAAGUUAAUUGUACAUGUCUGGACACUGCACACUGGGCUAUUCUGUUGGUAGAGUGCUGGUAGGGAUAAGAAUCAAGCCCAAUUAAUUGCAACUUUACUCGAUAUCUCACUAAUACCUCAGCCAACAAGUUCUCCAUGUAUUGAUAAGACAUUGCAAUUGAUAAUUUGACUUUCAAACAAUAAUAUAUAUGAACGAUAAUUUAAGAAUUUGCACAGCAGCUUCAGCAGUAACACAUGUAUAUGUAGAUCUAUAUAAAUUGUAUACACGCUUUA